CAGACACACAGGCAGUGAAACGUUGUUGUGCUUGUCAUGGCGGCUGUUGCCAUUUCUGCCUGAGUCUAGAGAGAUCUGACGCCGUUUCUCCGCUAGUAGUUGACAUUUUACGCCGACACUUUGGUCUCCCUCAGGUCCCCCUCAUCCCACCUCCCUUGCAAUAGACCACAGUAGCAGUUAAAUUAAGGCCCAAGAGGCAGACAUCCUGCAGCAGACUGAAAAUGCAGAAAACCAGUUGCAUGAAUGAAAUGAGAACAUGAAGACUGCUCCCUAAAAAAAAAUUGAAAGUUCUCAGCUGACCAUGUGUCGUGCAAUGACAGAAAUGUCAAGAUGAGGGUGAGGCAGAGGACAAGGACGCAGGAAAGGUGGUCCUGCCUGCAUCUACAGUCUGAUCAUCAGUGUGGACAUUGAUGCAAAGACUUCAGGCUCAGAAGAUGACAGACCGUCUAUCCAGCCAUCACACCGAGAGCUGAAGGGGUGAAAGCGGAGGCCAGUUGUGGACCAGCCUAUAAAGACAUCGCAUUGGCACUGAUGUUGGAUGACUCGAGGACACAAAAUAAAAAGACGACUGAAAAGAGGGCCCCGGCAGAAGAGACAAAUGAGACACAGCUCCAGAAGUCACAUGACGAUGAGGGGCUGAGUUUACCAACCCCCUCCUAAACCCCAAACAUUUUAAAAUAGGAAGUAGGGAAGAGUCCUUAAAGAUGAAAUAGAAAAUGAGACACAUCACCCAGAUAUGAGAAGAAAUGAUGUAAACUGACCCAGGAUCAGCAUAUUACAUGUCUGGCAGCUCAACUAACACCAGAUAACUUGAUGAAGUUUGCUUUCUCCAAGACCCUCAACAAUCACAAGGAUCAGAUCAGGACAGGGAGCCAGAUGAAGGACAGCCACAGGAUAGGAAUCCCCAUUUCUGAACAUGAGAUGUGGAAAGAAAUGGAAGAAGUUGGAGCAUCUGCAGAGAACCCACCCAGGUCCAGAGAGAACAUGAACUCCACACAGACAGAACCAGCAGGAUGAAGAAACAGUGAGAGGAACCCCAGGAUGAUCAGAAAUGGAAGAAUUAUGCCAAGAUGAGACACUGUUAAAGCUGUGAAAAAAAAAUCUAUGUUCAGGCAAACUGUGUGACAUCCUGAUAUCUUGAGUUAUUACUCCAAAUAAAAAGGUGGC
ensembl:lncRNA